CGGAGUGUAGCUUAACCUGGUAGAGCGCUACGUUCGGGACGUAGAGGCCGCUGGUUCAAAUCCAGUUACUCCGACCA
rnacentral:tRNA from 1 species